UGAAACCUCGAACAGCUACAGCUACAAUGUCUCUUGCUGAAAGAAAAAAAUGUGCAGAUUUUAAAUUUUAUUGAUUUCUCAGAAUACACAAAAACAGCGGAUUACAUAAAACCAGCACAGAAGACAUUGUAGCUGCGCUUGUUCAAGGUUUCA
rnacentral:pre_miRNA from 1 species